rnacentral:rRNA from 1 species
AUUAGAUACCCUGGGUAGUCCACACAGUAAACGAUGAAUACUCGCUGUUUGCGAUAUACAGUAAGCGGCCAAGCGAAAGCAUUAAGUAUUCCACCUGGGGAGUACGCCGGCAACGGUGAAACUCAAAGGAAUUGACGGGGGCCCGCACAAGCGGAGGAACAUGUGGUUUAAUUCGAUGAUACGCGAGGAACCUUACCCGGGCUCAAACGCACAGUGACUGUCUGUGAAAGCAGAUUUUCCCUUCGGGGACAGUGUGCGAGGUGCUGCAUGGUUGUCGUCAGCUCGUGCCGUGAGGUGUCGGCUUAAGUGCCAUAACGAGCGCAACCCCUAUCGACAGUUGCUAACAGGUGAAGCUGAGGACUCUGUCGAGACUGCCGGCGCAAGCUGUGAGGAAGGCGGGGAUGACGUCAAAUCAGCACGGCCCUUACGUCCGGGGCGACACACGUGUUACAAUGGCAGGUACAGCGGGAAGCCAUGCGGCGACGCAGAGCAGAACCCGAAAACCUGUCUCAGUUCGGAUUGGAGUCUGCAACCCGACUCCAUGAAGCUGGAUUCGCUAGUAAUCGCGCAUCAGCCACGGCGCGGUGAAUACGUUCCCGGGCCUUGUACACACCGCCCGUCAAGCCAUGGAAGCCGGGAGUGCCUGAAGUACGCGACCGCAAGGAGCGUCCUAAGGUAAAACCGGUGACUGGGGCUAAGUCGUAACAAGGUAAC